UAGGGAAUCUUCCACAAAUGGACGCAAGUCUGAUGGAGCAACGCCGCGUGAGUGAAGAAAGGUCUUCGGAUCGUAAAACUCUGUUGUUAGAGAAGAACACGAGUGAGAGUAACUGUUCAUUCGAUGACGGUAUCUAACCAGCAAGUCACGGCUAACUACGUACAG
rnacentral:rRNA from 1 species